CUCCGCUUGGUGUAGUUGGUUUAUCACGUUCGGCUGUAAUUGCUUAUGCUACCGAAAGGUCCCUAGUUCGAUUCUGGGAGCGGAGA
rnacentral:tRNA from 1 species